rnacentral:rRNA from 1 species
UGGGGAAUUUUGGACAAUGGGCGCAAGCCUGAUCCAGCCAUGCCGCGUGCGGGAAGAAGGCCUUCGGGUUGUAAACCGCUUUUGUCAGGGAAGAAAUCUUCUGAGUUAAUACCUCGGGAGGAUGACGGUACCUGAAGAAUAAGCACCGGCUAACUACGUGCCAGCAGCCGCGGUAAUACGUAGGGUGCAAGCGUUAAUCGGAAUUACUGGGCGUAAAGCGUGCGCAGGCGGUUUUGUAAGACAGAGGUGAAAUCCCCGGGCUCAACCUGGGAACUGCCUUUGUGACUGCAAGGCUUGAGUGCGGCAGAGGGGGAUGGAAUUCCGCGUGUAGCAGUGAAAAUGCGUAGAUAUGCGGAGGAAACACCGAUGGCGAAGGCAAUCCCCUGGGCCUGCAC